UGGAUGCUAGCCGUCGGAUAGCUUGCUAUUCGGUGGCGCAGCUAACGCAUUAAGCAUCCCGCCUGGGGAGUACGGCCGCAAGGUUAAAACUCAAAGGAAUUGACGGGGGCCCGCACAAGCGGUGGAGCAUGUGGUUUAAUUCGACGCAACGCGAAGAACCUUACCAGCUCUUGACAUUCACUGAUCGCCUGGAGAGAUCCGGGAAUUCCAGCAAUGGACAGUGGGACAGGUGCUGCAUGGCUGUCGUCAG
rnacentral:rRNA from 1 species